rnacentral:lncRNA from 1 species
UUCCUGGAAGUCGUCUGGAAGACUUCCUGGAAAUCGUCUGGAAGUCUUCUACCCCAGAAGUCUUCCAGAUCUGAAAACCCUGCAUAUCCAAAUCCAGAUCUGAAAAACCUGCAUCUCCAAAAACGUUUAAAUGGCUUAAAAACAGAGAAAAUGAGUGGAAUAUUAGAUAGAUCUAUCUUUAUAGAACACACAAAAAUACAUAUCUAAAAUUAAUAAAUC